rnacentral:rRNA from 1 species
GGGGGGGGGGGGGGGGGGGGGGGGGGGGGCGGGUGGAGGGGAGGGGGGCUGGGGUGGGGGGGGGGGCGAGUGGGGGGCGGGGGGGGAACAGGAGGGUGACCUGGCCUGGACGGGGGGAUAACUUCGGGCGACUGGGGCGACUCGCGGGUAGGAGGUCCUGCUGCAUGGUGGGGGUGGGAGAGUUUCGGCGGUGGGGUGUGGCCUCGCGGCUGAUGCGCUUGUUGGUGGCGUAGUGGCUUACCAAGGCUUUGACGGGGCGCCGGCCUGAGGGGGUGCCCUGCCACAUUGGGACUGAGAUACGGCCCAGACUCCUACGGGAGGCAGCAGUGGGGAAUAUUGCACAAUGGGCGGAAGCCUGAUGCAGCAACGCCGCGUGCGGGAUGACGGCCUUCGGGUUGUAAACCGCUUUCGCCUGUGACGAAGCGUGAGUGACGGUAAUGGGUAAAGAAGCACCGGCUAACUACGUG